GAUGAUACUCAAAUAAAUGCAGUUUUGUUAUUGUGGCCAACAGAUUCGCGGAAAACGAUGACCGCAGCAGAGAUUCUUUUAAGCAGAAAAUUGGCAGCUGUGUUUUGGGCGGCUACAGUGACCUCAGGAGUUGUGUGUAAAAUCCAUUAUUGGACCACAUCCCAUCAGGGCGGGUGGGGUGGUCUGGUCUCCUCAUAGCCCCUAAUAAAAUUGUGAUAGUACCAGCGGAGAAUACACAACAAACGACAACCUGGGGCACACCUAGUCCUAUCAGAGCAUUCCUCAUUUCAAGCCACAAUGUCAACUCAGCAGCAACCGUACCCACAAUUUCAGACUCAGCUAUCAGCCCUGGAACAAAUUGCCAUCAACAUCGGAUUUGGUACUAUGAAAUAUUCAACGAGAUGGACACCCGUUUCACCCAUGCCGCAAGCAGGAAUAUCCGGCGGCAUGUCGACAGCACCAGCUGCUACUUAACCUCCUACUGUUCCCGACUUUAAAGCGAUACGGCAUUACUUUGGUUUGCCUGAAUGAAGGCUCAAACUGUGUACAGUGAACGUUCGCUAAUUGGGGUUUUUCUAGUUGGGGCGUUUUUUAGUUGGGGGUUCGCUAAUUGGGUCGAAACCCAAUUAAAAAGCAGCUAAACGUCAGAAUGUGAUGUCAAAAACGCGUUGACAUUUUGUUUCCGUGUUUGGCGGGAUCGAUAUUUUCUGGCGCGUAAAAUUUUCCUUUGUUCAAUGCAGAAA